UCAAGAGAGAAAAGUCAAACUACAGAAUGUGUAUGCGUAUAUAUAUACUGCAUGAGACCCCAAUUGAUAACCAUAGGAUUCAUAACCACAUCCAAUGAAAUAUGUUAACCUUCGUAGAAUAGCUUUCCUAACCUUAGUAGAAUAGCUUUCCUAACCUUUAUUUUUUUUUUUGGGUACAGUAGCAGCCCAUUUUUUCUACUGCAAGACCCUUUCCAUUUAAUUGGUACAGUCGCAGCCCAUCUUUUGUCUUGCAAAACCCUCCCUUUAAACCUCCUCCACUUUCUUUCUGAAUGUUUGUUUUCUCUUAAAAUCCCCUCGCAUUUUUUCCCUUUAAUUCGUACAGUAGCAGCCCUUCUUUUCUACUGCAAAACCCUUUUCAUUUAAUUGGUACAAUAGCAGCCCAUCUUUUGUACUGCAAAACCCUCUCCCUUUAAACGUCCUCCACUUUCUUUCUGAAUGUUUGUUUUCUCUUAAAAUCCCCUCGCAUUUUUUUCCCUUUAAUUCGUUCAGUAGCAGCCCUUCUUUUAUACUGCAGAACCCUGUCCCUUUAAACCUCCUCCACUUUCUGUCCAAUUGUUUGUUUUUUCUGAAAAUCCGCUCGCAUCUUUUGUACUGAAAAAUCCUUUCCCUUUAAACCCCCUCCACUUUCUAUCCGAAUGUUUGCUCUCUCUGAAAAUCCCCUCGCAUCUCUCUCUGUCGACAGAAACCCAAAAAACAGAGACCCAUUAGUUUAGAGAGAGAAGUAUUGGAAACUUUCUCUCUAUCGACAAGAACCCACUAGAAAGAUACCCAUUAGUUUAGAAAGAAAAGUACAUGAAACUCUCUAUAUCAACAAAAACCCAUAAAAAGUUUUAAAGAGAAAAGUGCAAAAAACACAUGCUUAUAAUUAUUCAACAUCUGCACAAAUUAAUCCAAUUAUUUUAUAGUUCAAAAAACAUAAACAUUAUUCUCAAUUCUUUGUCCUCGAAAAUUUCUAAAUUUCAAUAUGCCAAUAAAUUAAAAAACAGAUUUCUCUCUCAUUCUACUUAUAAAAUGGAAAACUUCUAGGGCUAAUCACCCCUUUAUGCUGAAAGAAGCCACAAAAGAAUCAUUGUAAAAAUCACUGUAUAAACACGAUGAGUUCCCCAUAAAAAUUCUUCCAGACGAGAAAACUUGGGAAUUUUAUUCGCUUGUUCUUGUAAUUUCAAAGAUUGAUCCAAAAAAUCACUUCCUCAUCAACUGAAGCCAGCGAUAGGAACUCUAGAUGUAAUCAGAUUUAGUAUAUAGUUACAAUAAAGCUCCUAUAAAGUUUUUGCAAGUGCUCCUCAGCGAGCUUUUGCAACAUAGAAUACCGAAGGGGUUUUUUUUGGAGUUUCUCUCUAAACAAAUGGGUUUGGAUAGAGAUAGAUACGAAGGGAUGUAGAAAAAGAGCAUAUUAAUAGAAAGUAGAGGAGGUUUAGAAGUUAAAGGGUUUUGCAAUCCAGAAGACGAGCUGCAACACUACUAAAAAAAAGUUCGGAAAGCCAAGUGGCCUGGCAUCCCAUAUUUCUUAGG
rnacentral:lncRNA from 1 species